rnacentral:rRNA from 1 species
CACGGGGGGAGCAAGCGUUGUUCGGAAUCACUGGGCGUAAAGGGCGUGUAGGCGGUCAGGUAAGUGGGAUGUGAAAUGCCCCCGGCUCACCCGGGGACCGGCAUCCCAUACUGCUUGGCUUGAGUACGGGAGAGGAUGUGGGAAUUCCUGGUGUAGCGGUGAAAUGCGUAGAUAUCAGGAGGAACACCGGUGGCGCAAAGGCGCGCAUCUG